GACGAACGCUGGCGGCGUGCCUAAUACAUGCAAGUUGAGCGCUGAAGGUUGGUACUUGUACCGACUGGAUGAGCAGCGAACGGGUGAGUAACGCGUGGGGAAUCUGCCUUUGAGCGGGGGACAACAUUUGGAAACGAAUGCUAAUACCGCAUAAAAACUUUAAACACAAGUUUUAAGUUUGAAAGAUGCAAUUGCAUCACUCAAAGAUGAUCCCGCGUGGUAUUAGCUAGUUGGUGAGGUAAAGGCUCACCAAGGCGAGGAUACAUAGCCGACCUGGGAGGGUGAUCGGCCACAUUGGGACUGAGACACGGCCCAAACUCCUACGGGAGGCAGCAGUAGGGAAUCUUCGGCAAAGGACGAAAGUCUGACCGAGCAACGCCGCGUGAGUGAAGAAGGUUUUCGGAUCGUAAAACUCUGUUGGUAGAGAAGAACGUUGGUGAGAGUGGAAAGCUCAUCAAGUGACGGUAACUACCCAGAAAGGGACGGCUAACUACGUGCCAGCCGCCGCAGUAA
rnacentral:rRNA from 1 species